rnacentral:rRNA from 1 species
CCUACGGGAGGCUGCAGUAACGAAUCUUCCGCAAUGCGCGAAAGCGUGACGGAGCAAUGCCGCGUGCAGGAUGAAGCCCCUCGGGGUGUAAACUGCUGUCAGGGAUUAGCCCAGUCCCAAAGGAAGAGACGACUAACUCUGUGCCAGCAGUCGCGGUAAUACAGAGGUCUCGAGCGUUAGUCGGAAUCACUGGGCUUAAAGCGUGCGUAGGCGGAUGUGCAGGCGUCGUGUGAAAGCCCUCGGCUCAACCGGGGAAUGCACGGCGAACCGCAUGUCUUGAGACAAGUAGAGGCGGUCGGAACGAUAGGUGGAGUGGUGAAAUGCGUUGAUAUCUAUCGGAACGCCAAAGGUGAAGACAGACCGCUGGCUGUUCUGACGCUGAGGCACGAAAGCGUGGGUAGCAAACGGGAUUAGAUACCCUGGUAGUC